rnacentral:pre_miRNA from 1 species
UUGAUGAUGCUGAAUGUAACCCUUAAAAUGAGCAUUAAGGUUACACUCAACAUCGUCGAAG